GACGAACGCUGGCGGCGUGCCUAAUACGUGCAAGUCGAACGCUUUUUCUUUCACCGGAGCUUGCUCCACCGAAAGAAAAAGAGUGGCGAACGGGUGAGUAACACGUGGGUAACCUGCCCAUCAGAAGGGGAUAACACUUGGAAACAGGUGCUAAUACCGUAUAACACUAUUUUCCGCAUGGAAGAAAGUUGAAAGGCGCUUUUGCGUCACUGAUGGAUGGACCCGCGGUGCAUUAGCUAGUUGGUGAGGUAACGGCUCACCAAGGCAACGAUGCAUAGCCGACCUGAGAGGGUGAUCGGCCACACUGGGACUGAGACUCGGCCCAGACUCCUACGGGAGGCAGCAGUAGGGAAUCUUCGGCAAUGGACGAAAGUCUGACCGAGCAACGCCGCGUGAGUGAAGAAGGUUUUCGGAUCGUAAAACUCUGUUGUUAGAGAAGAACAAGGAUGAGAGUAAAACGUUCAUCCCUUGACGGUAUCUAACCAGAAAGCCACGGCUAACUACGUGCCAGCAGCCGCGGUAA
rnacentral:rRNA from 1 species